rnacentral:tRNA from 1 species
CAGAGGAUAGUUAAAAAAUAAAUAUUUACCCUUGUUUAUCUUAGAAUGUUGGCUUUGGGCGCUAGCGGUAGGAGUUAGAGUCUCUUUCUUCUGA